rnacentral:lncRNA from 1 species
UGACGAUAAAGUAGGGUUAAUCGAAUUCAUUCCAAAAUUACCUGAGUGGAAAAUUAAUAGUAUUAAACGUAUGGGUGUUUCAAAAAAUAAUAAAAUUAUUAUUAUCCUUAAAGAAAAAAUAGUGAACACUGAUAAGAAUAUCACUAUUUUUUUUAAUAAUAUAAAAAGUACAAAUCCGAAAAAGAGCGCUAAAUAUAUAUCAAAAGCUUCAGAACUAAUGAAAAAGGAUAAUAACCAGAAAGGCAACAAAUCGAGCGAAUUUAUUAACGACCAAGCGAUAAAUAAAGAAGUUAUUUACGCCCAAACAAUACCAGAACAACCAAAACCUGCUCUUACUGACAAAAAACAUAUGUGUACACGAUCCCAAAUGAACAACCAUAUAAAUAGUAUAUACAACACUUUAAUCAAUACUUCUGUACUAAUUAACAACAAAAAAAAUGAUGAAUCACAUUUGAAAAAUCCUAUAAACAAAGAUUUAAUUGUAUGCAAUAGAGAUAGUGAUGUAAUGAAACUUUUAAAAUUUAAGCAUUUGUUACAUCAGAAAAAAGCACAACAAUAUAUACCAUCGUAUAAGACAGCUAUAGAAAUAUACAGUUAUAGUCAUAUAACAUUUUAUAGUGCACACCCAGUUGUUGCCUUGUAUUUUAGUAAGAAGUAUGUUCAAAAACAACUUAAGCGCUUAACUACAAAUGAAUUGGUAUCAGAAUGUAGAUAUUUUUUAAAAAGUAUGAUACCAUCUAUAAAAAUAAAAAAAAUUUGUUUCUAUAAUUGGAAUAAUAAUAAAUUUUCCAGAGGUAAAAAUGCAUUUUUAACAAAAAAAAGUUUAUUAAUCGAUAAAGAUAUUAUAUCGUUUCCUGUAAAUAGGUUGUUGUUUGCAGGUGAACAUACGCAUAGUAGUGAUAGUAAUUGUUUAGUGAGUUCUUUUAUGAGUGGUAAACGAGAAGCAUAUCGAAUUAUAGAAAAAGUAAACAAAACUGUACAUAUGAAUAAAUUAACAAAGUUUUUUUAUCAUCGAAAUAACAGUUUAUUAUUUGGUGGCGCUGGAUCAUUGUCACCAUUAUUAUCAACGUGGGCGCAUCAUUAUUGUUAUUCUCCUAAUGACUUAGGCAACGUGAACUCUUUUGCAAUGGCUAACAUUAGAGGAGGAGUAGGCGUAGAAAGUAAAGUAGGAGAAAUAGGGGGAGGAGGACAUUUACCCUUUUCACCAACAGCACCAACAUCAAUACCACGAUCAUGUAAAACAACCCCAACAACAAUAACAAAUGUACCAGCGGCAAUGUCGAUAACAGAAGCGCCACAUACAAUACCAACAACGCCAACAAUGCCUAACAUAAGUUUACCGUUACAAAUCAUGCUAGGUUCUAAAAAAUCACCAAACCGAUCCGAAGUUGUGAUAAAAAACGUAGAUACGGAUUUAUUCAAAUACAUAUACGACGAUGAGGUGAUUGGUCUAAAUAAAAAUGAAUACAAUAGUUGGUUUGUAAACAUACGUUGUAUAUUCUGUAACGAAACACAAAAACUUAAUAAACUAUUUAUUGGUAUUAUAAAAUUAAAACUAAUAAAUGGGAAAUACGUAAAAUUCACAUGUCAUAAAGAAUGCCUAUAUUAUAAUAAUUACAUUUUUAAUCAUGCAUAUGGUAAUAGAUAUUUUAAUGUAACUAUCAUGUUUAAUUAUUUAUUUAAUAAAAAAUGUUCAGUCUGCUUUUCUAAAUUCCCAUCUUUAAAAUGUAGUAUAUAUAACUGUAACAAUUUUAUACAUUUAAAUUGUGCUAGCACAUAUUUAUCAUGGCCUAACUUUUGUAAUACGAGCAGACAUGAAGUUUUAUAUUGUUAUAAACAUCAGUACAUGCAUGGUUCAUAUCAUAAUUAUUAUGAAACCAAAACAAUAAAAAAAUAUAAAAAAAAAAGAACAAACAAGGACAAAAAAAAAAAAAAAUAUAAUCAUUCUAACUUUUUGAAUGAAGAUUUUGUGAGGACAAGUACUAGCGUAAGUAUAAGUAGUAAUUGUAGUAGUACUAUCAGCAUAAGCAGUAGUAGCAACAUUAGUAGUGAAAAACGAAGUAGCAAAAGGAGAAUGCAUUUAGUGAAUAAUGUGGAAGUAUUAGGUGACACUCGCAAUUAUAAAAAAAAAAAUACACAUGCAGAAGACGAUGAACAACAACUAUUUUAUAAUGACAAAUUAAUCCAUCAUCAGGAAAGAAAUCUUUCUUUUAAACAACCACAAUUUAGCAACACAAAAUACCAAAUACUACCUCAAAAAAAAGAUCACUAUCAUUUAACUGGAGAUGGCUAUACAUAUGGUGAUAAUGUGCCUUACAACAUGUAUAUGCUGGAUAAUUUAAAAAGACAGCAGAUACAUACAAAAAUGAAUAAGUAUGAAAAUCAAAGUGGUUUGGUUUAUUGCGAUAAUGAUAACAGUCAUUGUAGUGGACAUGGUAUUUGUUAUAAUAGUAGUCACGGUAUUCUUUUUAAAGAGAAUACUAUUACGAACAAUAUUGCUGGUACUUUUAUGAACAAUAAUAACAGUUAUAAAGACAUACAAACAUAUCCUGAACAAAAUUGUAAUUAUCCAAUAAACGAAAACACAAUGUGUGAAGAUUGUACAAAAUACAAACAUACAAAAAAGCAUCCACAUGGCUAUAAUAAUAGUAGUAGUUAUAUCAACAAUAGCAAAAACAGACUAUCAAUUAACGAUUUUUGUUUUUCUGACGAUGUAAAUGAAAACAUUACUAAUUUUUUAAUAUACUACCAAAACAAGGAAAAUCAAAAGAGCAAAGAAUAUCAAAAAUACAAUAACAAAAAAAAAAAUUCCUAUCUUGAUAUGUCAAUUCGUUAUAAUAAAAUUAAUUAUAUUAAUGAUAAUUUAUUUAAAUAUACCCAAAAAAAGCAUCAAAAAUAUACACCACGUGUUAUGUAUUGUAAUAAUAUUCACAAUAAUGGCAGCUUUUGUAGUUGUAUGACCAAUUCUUGUCAUCCCAGUCACAGUUAUACUGGUAUUACCAAUGCUAUUGGUACAAGUUUCAGUAGCAGUGAUGGAAGUAGUAGUGACCUUGGUAGUAGUUGUAGAAGUAAUUAUAGUGGAUACAUUUAUAAUCAUAAAAAAAGCAAUAAAAUAGAUAAAUGUUUAUUAGGUAUAAAUUACAUGGAUGAAAAAUUAUUUUCGGUGAAUAAAAAAAAAAAAAAAAAAUUCCUAAA